ACGAACGCUGGCGGCGUGCCUAAUACAUGCAAGUAGAACGCACAGUUUAUACCGUAGCUUGCUACACCAUAGACUGUGAGUUGCGAACGGGUGAGUAAUGCGUAGGUAACCUGCCUGGUAGCGGGGGAUAACUAUUGGAAACGAUAGCUAAUACCGCAUAAUAUUAAUUAUUGCAUGAUAAUUAAUUGAAAGGUGCAAUUGCACCACUACCAGAUGGACCUGCGUUGUAUUAGCUAGUAGGUGAGGUAACGGCUCACCUAGGCGACGAUACAUAGCCGACCUGAGAGGGUGAUCGGCCACACUGGGACUGAGACACGGCCCAGACUCCUACGGGAGGCAGCAGUAGGGAAUCUUCGGCAAUGGACGAAAGUCUGACCGAGCAACGCCGCGUGAGUGAAGAAGGUUUUCGGAUCGUAAAGCUCUGUUGUAAGAGAAGAACGGGUGUGAGAGUGGAAAGUUCACACUGUGACGGUAUCUUACCAGAAAGGGACGGCUAACUACGUG
rnacentral:rRNA from 1 species